rnacentral:tRNA from 1 species
CGGAUGUACCCAAAUGGAUCARGG